AGUGGGGCUGAAAUUUUUAUCUUUUCCCUACAGUUAUUAGGUAGAUUGUAAAGCCCUGUUUGACCAGAUGUUUGCUAACUGUUGGUUGUACUGUAUGCAAUAUUAUAAUAGAGCUGGGAAAUCAUAACAGAAGGUUAUCUAGGGGCCCUAGACAGAAAAGUAAUCUUCCUGGAACAAGGCAGCUGAAACAGAAGCCAUGGUCUGUUCAUUGAUCUGUCACAGCAACUACUACAUGAUACAGACUGUGUUGCCAAUUGUUCUCUCUUCCUCACAGAGGUUUGUGAGCACCAAAAAGGGCAUAUAUUCAAACCAGCAAAACAGGGAGCGAAGUUCUGAUGGACAGAACUGCGUGGACUCCCUACUGACUUAAAAUCGUAGGAUCAUAAGGUUGGAAAAGACUUUAAACACCCCCAGUGACAGUGACUCCACCACCUCCCUGGGCGACCUGUUGCAGUGCUUGAUGGCUCUGAGAAGAAAUUUCUCCUAAUUUCCAACCUGAACCUGCCCUGGCACAACUUGAUGCCACUCCCUCUAGUCCCAUCACUAGUUACCUGUGAGAAGAGACUGACCCCAGCUCCCCACACCUUCUUUUUAAAUAAAAUAAACAUCAUGGUAAUCUGUUAUCUCAAAUGAAGCAGUACCAUUUUAUUCUUUGCACAUUCAACAAAAGGACAGUGAAACCCAGAGAUGCUCACUGGCUCCUCCAGCCGUUCACCAGGAGGUGACACCAGAGAGCUCCUUUUUGGAAGAAUUUCAGACAAGAUAGGGAGUACUUUUUCCAAUGCCUGAGGGUCUACUGCUUCCCAACAGAAACAGCCACAGUCACUUUCAGUAAAAUGAAGAUUUACUUGCUGGUGAAUGCAAAGAAUGAAUAAAUACUUUCAUUUAUAACCUGGUAACUAUAGCUUUUAAUGUUUCCUCCACCAUCUCAAUACCAUAAUGUUUUAAACUAUUAUGCUUUCAGAGAUCUAAAAUAUGUCUUUAUUGCCUUCAAAAUUAAUAGAGCACUUCCAUCUGAAACAUAUAUACCAAAUCAUUUGGACAUUUUUGAGAGGCAAUAUUAGCCAUUUUUGGAUUAGCAGAAGGCUGUCAAAGACUAGUACUACAAAUAGCAAAUUUACUUCUGAGAUGUCAGCUGUGUGGUUGUUUAUCAGUACUGUUGUGCAACUCAUUGUGUAAGAAAUCUUCCCCCAGGAAUUCACAUGCAUAUCAACAAAACUAUGUGGCCUUGAAACAGACAUAGUAUUUGGAAAAAAAAAAAAAAAAAAUCAGAAGCAAAACAUAACAGAAAGUUAUUACAACUUAAUUUGUUUUGUAUCUGAAAGCAUAUAGAUAAUAUUUUGUAUGCAACUGGCAUGUAUUUGCAAUUUUCCAAAGCAUGCUAAAAAACAAAACAAAACAAAACACAGACACAGCCCACAUAUAGUCCAGCCCAGAUUAGGAACAGGCACUGGGAUUACUGCUGAUAACCUGGACUGGGAAGCCACGCAUGGACCGAGGACCCGUGGACUGUUAGCUCAAACCUCACUCUUGGAAGCCCUGAUCCAUCCAUUCCAAGAAGGAGAUUGGGAUAUGAUGCAAACAUGGAGAGAACUGAAACUGCAACCUGAGUGGGACGGACUGUUCCAAGUGCUCCUGACUACCAAGACGACAGUAAGAAAGGCUGAGAAAUGAUGGAUUCGUACCUGGGUAAAAGCAUCAGUUAACCCUGAUACCAGAGAGACUGCAUUAACAAAGACUUUUAAGGUUAAAACUGUUAAAGCUAUCUGUUGUAAACCUUUAACUUCUCCUUAGAAGAAUUCUUAAUGAAUUAAUAAGUAAAAGGGGUUGGAGUGUUUGCAGGAAACACUCUCUGGAAGUGGGAGAAAGGGGUCUAUUUAAUCCCACCAGAAGAAUCCUCAUUAGUUUGUGAUUUUUAUUGUUUUUCUUAAUUAUUAUAGGGGUGUAUAUAUAGAAAGAAAUUAUGUAUUUUAAGUUUAUUUUAGUAAUACCUAUUCUCAAUGGAUUAGUAAUACAAUGGAGGGAAGAAUCAGCAUUUCUAAUGAAUGCAGAGUUCUAUCUCGAAAUAAUUGUUGGAUUUGCACCCUAGAAAGACUGAAGAGGCCUUGUCCCUGAUUGCUAUUUCCAGCAGCAACUGUGUCUGGAUUCUCUAGAUUUCUAAAAAUGACAGAUCAAACAUAGUCCCAGGAAGGAAUAUAUUUUGAAGUUGAGUUCCCUACACAUAAUCCUGGCUACAAUACUGUGUUAUCAAAAGUGCCUUUUAAACAAUGAUAGAAACUCAGGGGGCAAUAGUACUGACCCUGGGUGUGGAAAUAUCCAUGAAGUAGGGAAUAAUCCAUACUGUACUGAAUAUGGUAGCCAUGGGAAUGCUAAUAUACAUACUGCACAUCAGAUACAACACGAGAAUCCUGUAACCGGAUGGCCUGUCCUGAAUUGCAAGGAGUGAUACUGGCUAUGUGGCAAUAAAGCCAGGAAGGUGUUGCCCGUAGGAUGGAAGGGAGCUUGCGCCCUGGAGGCAAUAAUUCCAGAUGUAACUAUUAUUGAAGACCCACAAAGCCAAAGACCCCUUGAGACCACACGCAGAAUUAAGUGGACUCCAGAUAAACCUUUAGUAAAAUUCUCUAGCAUUUUACAAUUUUGCACGGUGUUUUUUACUUUGGUUAAGGGUGAGUGAAUUAGAAAAAGCAAUUGUACAUAUAUUGAAGAACUAGAAAAUAAGUUUGCUAAGUUUGCAAAAAUAGUACUCUAGAAUCAAAUAGUAUUAGAUUUAUUAAUAACCUCAUAAGGAGGAGCAUGCACUGUAAUUAAUACUGGUUGCUGUAUAUAUGUAGAUCAAAUGGGAUGAAUUUGACUGAUCUCAAAAAUAUUUUGGGAAAAAAAAACAAACAAACAAGAUCCUACAUAGAGUAGCUCACAAUGAUACUUCCUGGGGAUCUAGAAACAUUUGGGAGAAACUAAUUUUGUGAUUACCUGAAUAGAAUUGGCUCAAAUAACUAUUUGUUGGUAUUGUAAUAAUAAUGGCAUUGUAUAUCUAUCAUCCCGUGACAUCUGAAGAAGAAUAUUGCACCUUAAUGUUGGAAAAACUCAAGAGAGCGGUGUGUGAAGAGGUGCAAAAA